CAUGCAUACGUGGAUGUAGAGGAAUGUGUGUUUUACUCAUUUUUACUGAGCACCUUCGCUACGCUCACGCCUUGCACUAAGUGCUAAAGAGCUAAGGAAAGGGUGAGACCAAUAUGUGCCCAGCUCUGGCCCUCUGGAGCCCCCCAGGAGGUAGGGAACCUUGGCCAACCUCACCCUAAGGACUACUGAAUUAUUCUUCCCCAAGCAUCAAGGAAGAAAAGCACAGCAGGGGGAAAACCCAGCAGGGAGCUUGAUCCACUGUCACCGCAGUGCUCCAGGGCCCACAAGUGAGUUCUGCUCAGGAAUGAGUUUGAGAAAUGAAGUCUGCCGAAAGUGCUAGUGCCACUGGUGUCUGAUGACAGAGCCAAUGUAAGAAGUCCCGGGCCUGGGCCGGGUGGGUGGCCA
rnacentral:lncRNA from 1 species